rnacentral:tRNA from 1 species
GGCGUCGUAGCUUAACUGGUAAAGCACCACCUUAAUCGGUGGGAGAUGUCGGUUCGAAUCCCACCGGCGUCA